rnacentral:rRNA from 1 species
ACGCUGGCGGCAGGCCUAACACAUGCAAGUCGAGCGGAUGAAGGGAGCUUGCUCCCUGAUUCAGCGGCGGACGGGUGAGUAAUGCCUAGGAAUCUGCCUGGUAGUGGGGGACAACGUCUCGAAAGGGACGCUAAUACCGCAUACGUCCUACGGGAGAAAGUGGGGGAUCUUCGGACCUCACGCUAUCGGAUGAGCCUAGGUCGGAUUAGCUAGUUGGUGAGGUAAUGGCUCACCAAGGCGACGAUCCGUAACUGGGCUGAGAGGAUGAUCAGUCACACUGGAACUGAGACACGGUCCAGACUCCUACGGGAGGCAGCAGUGGGGAAUAUUGGACAAUGGGCGAAAGCCUGAUCCAGCCAUGCCGCGUGUGUGAAGAAGGUCUUCGGAUUGUAAAGCACUUUAAGUUGGGAGGAAGGGCAUUAACCUAAUACGUUAGUGUUUUGACGUUACCGACAGAAUAAGCACCGGCUAACUCUGUGCCAGCAGCCGCGGUAUACAGAGGGUGCAAGCGUUAAUCGGAAUUACUGGGCGUAAAGCGCGCGUAGGUGGUUUGUUAAGUUGAAUGUGAAAUCCCCGGGCUCAACCUGGGAACUGCAUCCAAGACUGGCAAGCUAGAGUAGGGCAGAGGGUGGUGGAAUUUCCUGUGUAGCGGCGAAAUGCGUAGAUAUAGGAAGGAACACCAGUGGCGAAGGCGACCACCUGGGCUCAUACUGACACUGAGGUGCGGAAGCGUGGGGAGCAAAC